AAAUUGAAGAGUUUGAUCAUGGCUCAGAUUGAACGCUGGCGGCAGGCCUAACACAUGCAAGUCGAACGGUAACAGGAAGCAGCUUGCUGCUUUGCUGACGAGUGGCGGACGGGUGAGUAAUGUCUGGGAAACUGCCUGAUGGAGGGGGAUAACUACUGGAAACGGUAGCUAAUACCGCAUAACGUCGCAAGACCAAAGAGGGGGACCUUCGGGCCUCUUGCCAUCGGAUGUGCCCAGAUGGGAUUAGCUUGUUGGUGGGGUAACGGCUCACCAAGGCGACGAUCCCUAGCUGGUCUGAGAGGAUGACCAGCCACACUGGAACUGAGACAC
rnacentral:rRNA from 1 species